rnacentral:rRNA from 1 species
ACGUCAAGUCCUCAUGGCCCUUACGGGCUGGGCUACACACGUGCUACAAUGGCGGUGACAAUGGGAUGCAAUGGGGCGACCCUGCGCAAAUCUCCAAAAGCCGUCUCAGUUCGGAUUGGGGUCUGCAACUCGACCCCAUGAAGUCGGAAUCGCUAGUAAUCGCAGAUCAGCACGCUGCGGUGAAUACGUUCCCGGGCUUU